AGAGUUUGAUCAUGGCUCAGGACGAACGCUUGCGGCGUGCCUAAGAAAUGCAAGUCGAACGGGGGCUUCGGCCCCAGUGGCGAACGGUCGCGUAACACGUAAGCAACCUGCCCUGAAGUGGGGGACAACAUUCCGAAAGGGGUGCUAAUACCGCAUGUGGUCACGAGUCGGCAUCGACUUGUGUCUAAAGAUUUAUCGCUUCAGGAUGGGCUUGCGGCCUAUCAGGUAGUUGGUGGGGUAAUGGCCUACCAAGCCGACGACGGGUAGCUGGUCUGAGAGGACGAUCAGCCGGAUUGGGACUGAGAUACGGCCCAGACUCCUACGGGGGGCAGCAAUUAGGAAUCUUGCGCAAUGGGGGAAACCCUGACGCAGCGACGUCGCGUGAAGGAUGAAGGCCCUCGGGUCGUAAACUUCUUUUGAGUGGGAAGAAAUUUGACGGUACCACUCGAAUAAGCCCCGGCUAACUACGUGCCAGCAGCCGCGGUAAUACGUAGGGGGCGAGCGUUGUCCGAAGUUACUGGGCGUAAAGCGCGCGUAGGCGGUUAUUUAAGUCUGGGGUGAAAGGUUCAGCGCUCAACGUGAACAGUGCCUUGGAUACUGGAUGACUUGAGUCUGGGAGGGGGAAGGGGAAUU
rnacentral:rRNA from 1 species